UUGUGGGUGGUGUAGUCUGUGAUCACGCUAGUCUCACACACUAGAUGUCCCCGGUUCGAAUCCGGGCUGAAAGA
rnacentral:tRNA from 1 species